GUAUGGUGCAAGCGUUAUCCGGAUUUACUGGGUGUAAAGGGAGCGUAGACGGUUGUGUAAGUCUGAUGUGAAAGCCCGGGGCUCAACCCCGGGACUGCAUUGGAAACUAUGUAACUAGAGUGUCGGAGAGGUAAGCGGAAUUCCUAGUGUAGCGGUGAAAUGCGUAGAUAUUAGGAGGAACACCAGUGGCGAAGGCGGCUUACUGGACGAUCACUGACGUUGAGGCUCGAAAGCGUGGGGAGCAAACAGGAUUAGAUACCCUGGUAGUCCACGCCGUAAACGAUGACUACUAGGUGUCGGGGAGCAAAGCUCUUCGGUGCCGCAGCAAACGCAAUAAGUAGUCCACCUGGGGAGU
rnacentral:rRNA from 1 species